rfam:Escherichia hermannii NBRC 105704 DNA, contig: EH10570402.
CAGCAUGUGGUUGCUGCAAAGCCAGGGGCGGUAGCGUG